rnacentral:rRNA from 1 species
UAGGGAAUAUUAGAAAUGGCCGCAAGUCUGCUCUAGCCACCCCGCGUGUGCGAAGAAGGCCUUCGGGUUGUAAAGCCCUUUUUGGAAGGAUUAGGAAGGAAUGUACUUCCAGAAUAAGUCUCGGCUAACUACGUGCCAGCAGCCGCGGUAACACGUAGGAGGCAAACGUUAUCCGGAUUUACUGGGCGUAAAGCGCGUGUAGGUGGUUCUGUAAGUAGGGCGUGAAAGCUCCUGGCGCAACUGGGAGAGGCCGUUCGAAACUGCAGAGCUAGAGGAUGGUAGAGGGAGGUGGAAUUCCGGGUGUAGCGGUGGAAUGCGCAGAUAUCCGGAGGAACACCAGUGGCGAAAGCGGCCUCCUGGACCAUUCCUGACACUCAGACGCGAAAGCUAGGGUAGCAAACG